rnacentral:rRNA from 1 species
UACGUAGGGCGCAAGCGUUAUCCGGAAUUAUUGGGCGUAAAGAGCUCGUAGGCGGUUUGUCGCGUCUGCCGUGAAAGUCCGGGGCUCAACUCCGGAUCUGCGGUGGGUACGGGCAGACUAGAGUGAUGUAGGGGAGACUGGAAUUCCUGGUGUAGCGGUGAAGUGCGCAGAUAUCAGGAGGAACACCGAUGGCGAAGGCAGGUCUCUGGGCCGAUACUGACGCUGAGGAGCGAAAGCGUGGGGAGCGAACAGG